rnacentral:lncRNA from 1 species
AACACAGAUGUCAGGGACAGGCAGUUUAUUUUUAGAGUUCCGCAUAUCACAUUUCCCCACACUGAUUCCCUUUCUUAUCUUUUUCUGCAUCAGAACAGCCAAACAGGAUUCGAGUGAUGCUUUGAGAUGGCUCAGUUCCCUGCAUUGUGUCUAGAGCCUCGAAUGCAGCAGACGCUUAGCUCCAACGUGGCUGUAGUGGCUUCAUCCUCACAACUUCGGUCUUUGAACUGGAAGACUUUGGAUAACCGUCUCGUGGGCUUAUUCGCUGGCAGUUACAAAUCAGUCUGGUGGAUUCGUGUUCAGCUCACCCUGGGACACCCUUCCGCUAUUCCACAGACAUCAGGGACUGGGAGAGCAGGACACCAAGCUGAAAGGAAUUGAAAGCCCUGAGGAGCCAAGGAAAUCCAGGGAGGUCAGACGCCAAGUCUUACAUUUCCUCUGGGCAGAAGCUACUGAUGGCAGGAUUUUAGAUUGGAGGAGACUGGGCUGGCAUACCAUACAGGGAUUGAACUCAGCUUUGUCAAGCUUGGUGGCAGUCACCUUUACCUGCUGAGCCAGCUCAUCAGCCCAUGAUCUAUCUACCUUUGUAA